GACGAACGCUGGCGGCGUGCCUAACACAUGCAAGUCGAACGGAACUUCUUUAAAGGAUUUCUUCGGAAUGAAUUUGAUUAAGUUUAGUGGCGGACGGGUGAGUAACGCGUGAGUAACCUGCCUCUGAGAGGGGAAUAACAUUCUGAAAAGAAUGCUAAUACCGCAUAAUAUAUAUUUAUCGCAUGGUAGAUAUAUCAAAGAUUUAUCGCUUAGAGAUGGACUCGCGUCCGAUUAGUUAGUUGGUGAGGUAACGGCUCACCAAGACCGCGAUCGGUAGCUGGACUGAGAGGUUGAACGGCCACAUUGGGACUGAGACACGGCCCAGACUCCUACGGGAGGCAGCAGUGGGGGAUAUUGCGCAAUGGGGGAAACCCUGACGCAGCAACGCCGCGUGAAGGAUGAAGGUCUUCGGAUUGUAAACUUCUUUUAUUAAGGACGAAG
rnacentral:rRNA from 1 species